rnacentral:lncRNA from 10 species
CCCCCAUCAGCCAAAUGCUCUUGAGCAGGCCUCAUCUGGAAAAUAAUGACUGUGUCUCAAAGGAUGACGAAGAGGAAUAAAUGAGCAAUGUGUUUCAAUGAGACAGUAUCGGCUGCGUCAAUGAUUGUAGUGCUAAUUGUUACAGACAUGACCACAAUGCCAAGGCGAAUGGGGACAAUGAAAUCCAUGGCUGGUUUUAAGGGCAGGUGCAGAGGAUCCAGCAUGUUAUUCUGAAACCCCAGAAGACGCUGCAGCUACCAAAUAGAAGGAGCCUGGAUCCCUGAAUGUCUUCAUGGAACAGAACAUUCUCCUCACUCCAGUCUGUUUGAACCAGAAUAUGACCUGAGCAAGAAAUAAGCCUUAAUUAUAUUUGACCAUAGAAUUCUGGUGAUAUUUCUAUGGCUGUAAGUCCAUGUUGAUUAAUACAAAGGGAUGCUGUAAAGCCUCUUCUAUUAAAAAAAGUUGCCCAAGGAGUGAAAGGAGAGAUAUUUUCUGUAAUUAAGAUUUUCAUAAUACAUAGAACAGGCUAUAGCACCUGGCAAUCAAUCAUAUGGGGUACAACAGAAAGAGGAAACAUUCCUGCUAUUAAAUUAACCAAACUGGAGUUCUUGUUAUAUAAUAUAGUAAAAUUUCCUCAAUCUUUCAGCCACCUUUAGUUCUGUAAUCUAUUAUUUCUGGGUAAAAGCAUACCAUUUGAUACACAAUCCAAACCCAAUUCUUAAUUAAUAACGUGUAUCCACUGUAUCUUACCACAUCCCAAAUCAUCUAAUACUUAACCACCUAGUUUCUAUGUUCCACUUACAUCAAACAUAUUCAUGUUUGGAAAAUUGAGCCAGCAUCUACUGCCUUAUCAGCUGAUGCAUAACAAUUUACUUUGUCUGUGCUCUAUAAUAAUGCAAGUCUGCUUGGAAAGAUAACACGUUAAAGGGUUAUCAGACCCUAACACCUUCGUAUAGAUGAAUUUAUCAGAUCCUCUGCUAAACCACUUUCGAAUCCUUGGCCAGUUCUCUACAUUUCAUGAAGAGUUAGCAUAGCCAGUCCAGGAGAUAUUAUCUUCAGGAUGUGGUCAGUUGUGGAAAGGAAGAUAGCUCUGAGGAUCUCUUUCCAGGGAAAAGAAAGACAUGAGGAUUGCUCCAAAGAUCCUCUUUCUGGGGGAAAACGCACAUACUACAG